AUUGAACGCUGGCGGCAGGCUUAACACAUGCAAGUCGAACGGAACCUUCGGGUUUAGUGGCGAACGGGUGAGUAAUACCUAGGAAUCUGCCUAUUAGUGGGGGAUAACGGCUCGAAAGGGUCGCUAAUACCGCAUACGUCCUACGGGAGAAAGAGGGGGAUCUUCGGACCUCUUGCUAAUAGAUGAGCCUAGGCCGGAUUAGCUAGUUGGUAGGGUAAAGGCCUACCAAGGCGACGAUCCGUAGCUGGUCUGAGAGGAUGAUCAGCCACACUGGAACUGAGACACGGUCCAGACUCUUACGGGAGGCAGCAGUGGGGAAUAUUGGACAAUGGGGGCAACCCUGAUCCAGCCAUGCCGCGUGUGUGAAGAAGGCCUUCGGGUUGUAAGCGACUUUAAGCGAGGAGGAAGGU
rnacentral:rRNA from 1 species